AAAUGUUUCUGUUCGUCGACCGUUUCUGUUCUACAGGACAGGAUGUCGCAUUGAAGAAAAUGGUCACCAAGGAUAGCUAGUGUGUGUAUCAAGAUGACGACUCUAACUUCUAAGUUGUCUUGUAGCAUGGUUGUUCCUCUACCUAUUUGCAGUUUCGAUCCAGGCUUGUUUCCAUCAGAGAUCAUUGAUCAAGAUAGAAAGAAUGGACCACCGACAUAUGAAGAACCUUCACCUACAUGUACCACUCAAACACUUGAAGAGGAUGACAUAUUUAGUGACAGGUAUAUCACAUUUCUUUUCUAUGUUGGGUUUUCUCUUUUGAUAUGGGGUUCCAUCAGGUUAUUGCCUGAUUUUUUUUUCUUCAUUUUUCUUUCUUCUCCACCUGGCACUGUGCCGGCCUGCAGAAGCUAACCCAUGCCCGAAAAAGCACCGGCAGGGUACAGUGAGUAAAAAUGUUUCCUAGCUCAAUGAUACACAGGUGUCAUUGUCAACUCACGACUCCGAAACAAGGACCAAACUAGCUGCCAAUGUCCAGAUUUCUGUUUGAACUUGGAGGAUAAUUUGUCUGUUAUCUUUAGUUUUAAAAACAACAUUGUUACUAUUGUUUGUGAGAAGUUCACAAGCACAAGUCGGCGCCUUCAAUUGCAUAUCGCAUUAAAAUAGCGUGGGUUUUCGUAGCCGGACAAUGUGGUGCUUCCUACAACGUCGGCAAAAAAAGAAAAAAA